UCUGUCUCCCAACUGAUCAGCAAAAGACCUUCAAUUUCCAUCUUCAAACAAUCAUGGCUCGAAGCAUUUACCCUUGCAUCUUCAUCUUUGCAGUUAUAGCUGUCACCAGUUAUACAGAAUGCCAGGCUGCACGGACUUUGCUGCAAUCACUGCCUCCUCCUCUGCCGGGAAUGCCAACAAUUCCAUCGUUACCAAUACCAACUUUGCCACCUAUGCCAUCAGUUCCCACCAUCCCAAGUCUCCCUAAACCAGCUGUGCCACCGAUGCCUUCCAUUCCAACCAUCCCAACCCAACCAUCUAUUCCAGCCAUUCCGGGCGUGCCCAAAGUCUCCCUGCCCCCUAUGCCUUCAUUCCCCUCUAUUCCGAAGAUCCCUUCCAUUCCAACCAUUCCAGUCCUGUCUCCACCACCUUCAAAGUAACCUGUUGGUAGUACUUUCUCGAAACCUCGUGGGAUAGGCCAUGAUUAGAACAGAGACUGAAGUUGACCUAAUGCUGGUUGAAGAGGAGAUUUGUUGCUUUCUUUGUGAUUUUAAUACAUUUGUUAGUAUCAUACAGUACUCUUAAUAGGUUUUAAGCAAAUUUAUAUGUUAUUAAUGUUUAAAAUGAGCCAGUGUUUAUGUAUUAUAUUACUUUGAUUGUUGUAAUGUUUAUUCAGUCAUUAUGUUUUCUAUUUGUAUACAUUUUACAUCGUCACCCUCUUCAUUUAUAAAUUCCCCAUACAAUGCUACAGAUUAACUAAAGGAAUACCACAAUGGAACAUUGACAAAUUAAGACUUCCUUUUUUUCCCCUAAUUCCCACUUGACACUAUAAACAGAAAGGCAGACUGGAAAUUUACAGCUUAUACUAUUAGACGCAACAAUUACUCGAAAGUAUAGAAGAAGACCAUAUUGGUAGUAUAAAAAAGCCAGCAUAUGUGUGAAAGAGUAAUUAUCUAUGUUGUUAUGACACUUCCAUUAUUUAAUACUCGAACAGAAGGAAAGAAAGCUAAAGGGAACUUGUUCUACAUUGAUAUAAAAAGGAAGGUGUUAUGUUUAUAUAUGUAGUCAAUAUAAGGGACUGAUGGAGCAUGUCAGCAGAACGAAAAUGCAUAUUAGUAUAUCUAAGUUUCCUGUUACUGAAACUAAGUUAAAUUGAAGUCCCAAGAAGGUACUACAAAUCUAUGGAAAGAUGACUUUGAUCGUGUUUAACAUAGGUUGUUCGUCAAACUUAAUAAUAACUGACUAUAAAUAUAUGUAACAAUUGUAACUUCAGAGAAAACGAAUUUGGUUAUUAUGACACUUAAGGGAGAGUUACUUUUAAAACACUAAUCUCCAAUGAAAUGACUGGAAUAUCAUAAAUAAUUUAACAAUAAUAUAUAGCUAUAAACAUUUUAAAUCAUAAAAAAUAAGUAUUACAUAUUUUUAUUUUAUAAACUAUUAACACAAUAAUAUUUCUUAAAAAACUCUUUCUUAUCAUAAGAUGAAUAAAGUUGCAUCGCUCAGAGUAAAAAAAAAUAAAGAAUAGCUUAGCUAGAAAAAGAACAGCAUUUAUAGAUGGAUGAAGUGAAAAUUUGUUCUAUCCUGUAUGGAUAGAAUGAUAUGCAUAUAUUGUCUUUUAAAAUCUCAAAAAAGGUAGUCUAAUGUACUUCCAUUUUCCUUCGCCUUCCUCACGAGUUUAAGUGGAGUGCAUGAGAGUGAUAGUCGAGUUGUUUUUCUUCAGUCCUCUAGAGGAAAUCAAGUUCAUAAACUUCACCUUUUCCUACCACUUGUAUAAGACAGAUACUUAUGGUAUUCAAAUGUCUUCCAUAAUUAUCAUAUCCUAUUUUUAUCAUUUUGGAGGCAUGGUGUAGUGGUAAGGCAAGGGAUUGCGAAUCCUUUAUCCCCAGUUCAGAUCCCGAUAAAGCCUUAUGAAAAAUAAUAAUAUAAUAAAAUAACUCAAAAUCUCUUCUUUUUAAAUUUAUUUAUUGAGGAAAUUUUACAAAAUGUCCAUUUUUACCUAAUCAUUUGCAAAAAUGUCCACCAUUACAAAAAUAUCUAAUUUGGAAGAAUUUAGACCAAAAUAUUCUUAUUAACAAUUUAUAAUUCCACACUAAAACAAAAAAAUGGAUAUUUUUGCAAUAUUGUUAUUGGCCAAUAAAAUUUUGACACAUAACUUGCCAUAUUUAUUUCAAAAAGCAUACAUGUCAAAUUACAAUAAAUGCUAUGUUUUUCAUUGAUUCAGAAAAUGGCGAGAACGAUACUUUUAAAUGUAGAGAAAUGUCAUGUUCAAAAUGAAAUAUCAUUCUAGACAAAUGAAACGGUAUUCAAAUGUCGAGAAUGACAUAUGAAAUGUCGAGAAACAUUAUUUUAAUUAACUUCUCAUGGAAGCCACUUCUCAAAAUUUGUGACAAACUGAUAAAAAAAAUCAAAUGUCGAGAAUACCAUUUCAAUAUUUAGCUUUUCAUUAAGGGCAUAAUAGACAAGUUGACACUAAAUUCAAAUGAGUAGACACUUUUCAACUCAUGCUCUUAAAAUUUGACAUUCUUAAAAAUGCCCCUCUUUAUUUAUUUAUUUAUUUUAUGUUGAUACUUGUUUGUUUUUAAGCAAGUGGUGUCAGGGUUAUCGAAAAGAUUUGGAAUCAUUGCAUCUAGGAUUCAAGGAAAAAUUCUAAUCUAAUUAUAAAGGGAUGGAUGAUACUUUAUGAAAUGCUUCUAUUACUAAGGGCAACUCCAAUGGUAACACCAAAUCACCAAAUUGCACCAUUUUUUGGUGCAAAGUUGCUUCAAUACAACACUAUACUUUGCAUUAUUUUGGUGCAAAAUGGUGCAAAGUGUAUAAAGUCUCUUUUGUCCUUUUUUAUCAUUUCCCAAAUAAAUUUGUUAAGGGUAUUUGCGUCAAUUGUGCUAUAUAUUUUUAAAUAUAAUAAAUUAUUAUUAUUAUUAUUAUUAUUAUUAUUAUUAUUAUUAUUUGCAUUUGCAUUUAAAAUAAAUUUUAAAUGUAAGAAAUAAUAAUUAAUAAAUAAAUUAAAAGAAGAAAAAAAAUUUAAAAUAUAACAAACAUGAAUAUUUAUUAAAGUUAACAUGAAAUAUAUUAAACAACGACAUACAUACGAUAAUCUAAUUUUAUUUAAACAAAACGAUACAUAAAAAAGUGCAUAGUUCAGUAAUAUGGAAGAUCACUUCUAAAUCCUCCAAAAUCAUCAAAAUAAUUUUCAAACAAACUAGAUGAACUUUCAGAUCCUUUAUCUUGUUGUUGAGAUCUCUUCUAGCAAAUUCUUGCUUGUUCGUGAUAUCAUGACUGCAUGCAUAAUAACGCAUAACAUGAUUAUCGAGGAUGAACGUAAUGUUGAUGCACCAGUUCAAGAAUGGACAGAAGAGCCAAGCCUAGAACUUGAGUUGGUUGGAGGCAAAAAUCAACAUUUUCAAGAAUUCCUUGCUCGUUAUAGACAAAUCAAAGAUAAAAAGACUCACAUUGCACUUUGAAAUGCAUUGAUCGAUCAUUUGUGGGAAGAACAUAUGAAUUUCGAGCAUUAAAUUGCAAAUAUUUUGCGACUUCGUAAUAUCGUCUAUCCAAAUUCGAAAUGCAUUGUACUAUUUUCUAAUGGCAUGAUUUAAUAUUUUUAUCGUUGCAGUGUUUUUAUUAAUUGUACUAUUUUUUUUAUAUUUAUUAAUGAAUAUAAUCUUUUCCAUAAUUUAACGUAAUUAUUUAUUUAGUAAUUUAUGUAUUUAUAAAAUAAUUAAAUAAAUAAUAUUUCAAAUAAAUAAAUUAUAAAGAAUAAAAAAAAGAAAGAAAAUGGUUAAAUACUGUUUAUUUGGUCUAACUUUUAGUGUAAUGAUUGAAAAUGAAUUUUAGUUUGGUGCAAAAUUUGGUGCAGCGCCGAAGAUGGUCUAAUAAUAUCCAAUGACUGGGUAUUGAAUUAGAUAGUAAAUCCUAAUACAAAAUUUAAUUUAAUUAAUGGUUGUGGAAAAGACAAAAGCUACUUUAUAAACACCGGACUCGUGAGAAUCUUGGCAUGCUCAAGUAUUGAAUCAGUAUUAAAUUAGACAAACAAUUGGAAGGAACGGGUGGGUGGGAGAACAAAUUCUUUCUAGGCAAAACCUGGUCAACCCCAGCCGAUUAGAAACAUAUACAAUUUAAGAAUUUAAUAACUUAUAUAAAAGACAUUUUAUGGAAAAUGUCAAUUCAUUUAUUACCAAGAACAAUUUUUAAUUAGUUAUACUAAUAUUAACUAAUUAAAGAAUUGUUUAAUAUUUUUAUUGGCAUAUUAUCUUAUCAAAUACUGAAUGAUGAGCAUUUCAUAGCUUUCUUCGUUAUUCGGUGGUUUAACAACAUAAACUCCAGAGAAAAGGGCUGAUCCCUAAACUUGCCACUUGUUUGCUACAGCCUACAAGGUUCAAGUAAAAGUCCCCAUUGAUCAAACAUUAUCUAUUAUUGAUAGGAAAAAAGAUUUAACUAACUCUAACAAUAUCAGCAGCCAUUUUGAUAAUUUCCAAACCACCAAUCAGAAUUAUAACCUCAAAAAGGGAGAAAAAAAAUCAGUCGUAACCAAACUUAACCUAUUUCCACCAAUAUCAAACAUAAUUUUCAACCCUGGGAUUGAACUCCAUCUAUAAAUACUCCAAACGCAGUUUGGUUUUCAUCAUCAAAUUCAAAACUUCUCCUGUCCCAAUUGAUUAGGCAAAAAAACCCUUCAUUUUGAUCUUCGAAUUAUCAUGGCUAGAAGUAUUUACACUUGCAUUUUCAUCCUUGCAGCUAUAGUCACCGCCAAUUAUAAAAAAUGCGAGGCUGCGCGUACUCUGCUGCAAUCAUUUCCUCCCCCUCUGCCGGGAAUGCCAUCUAUUCCAACAUUACCAAAGCCAACUUUGCCACCAAUGCCAUCACUUCCCACCAUCCCAAGUCUCCCUAAACCAGCCGUGCCACCAAUGCCUUCUAUUUCAACCAUUCCAACACAGCCAACUAUUCCUACCAUUCCCGGCAUGCCCAAAGUCGCAUUGCCCCCAAUGCCUUCUUUUCCCUCCGUUCCAAAGAUCCCUUCAAUUCCUACAAUCCCAGUCCUAUCUCCACCACCUUCCAAGUAAAACCAUUGGUAGUAUUUUCUCGAUUCCUCACGUGGCAGGCCAUUGUUAGAAUAGAGACAGACCUCAUGUUGGUGUAAACGGAGAUUCGUUGCUUUGUUAUUUUCGUACUUCUGUUGGAGUCAUACAGUUCUCUUUCUCGCUUCAGUCUAUUUAUAUGUUUUUUGUUUUCACUGUUUGACAUCAGCCCGUGUUGAUGUAUUGUAUUCCAUCUUUAUGCUUUUUCUUAUAUAUUUUUUACAUUCUCUCAUAUCAUAUACAAAUGCCCCAUCAAUGCCAUAGACAUACACCAAAACGGAAUACCGUAAAAAAUAAAACAUGUUUUUAUGUGGAUUUCGACAUUAUAUCAUAAAUCGAAAGAUGGGAAAUAACAGUUAAAACUGCUAAACAUGACAAUUACAUGAAAAUUUGACGACUAAGGAAAUAGGAAUAAGAGUUCAAUAAGAGAUAAAAAUUAACUUAUAUCUCUACUUCCAAUCCCAAAUUAUAAUGGUCUAAUAAAUGUAGUCCAUGUCGAACUCGUGAUCAGUUCGAUAUUACCGUAUGAGAAAAGACAAAAGCAGUGUUUUACAUUUUGCCAUGAACCCAGUUGAGGAUUCUUUGAGUUGAAAUUCGUUCUCUCUACGGCUAAUCAAUUUCAACUCUUGAUUCGAAGUUACUGGCACAAGUCCAUGACCCUAGUUUGAAUGGAAAAUAACAAACCAAAAUAUAGGACUCCCAGAUUGCAUUUUGAUUAAUUGUUCAAUCUUUUUUCUUUCUUUCUUGUAAUUAUGUCUUCAUUUUCUACUUCAAAGUUCAGAAGAAAGAGAAAGUUUUGUUUGUUGGUUCAUUUACAAUAGAAGUGAAUGAAAAAUCGCUCUACGUAGGGACAAUUGCUCGAAGCCUACGAACUAGAUAGAAUGAAUUUGUCUUACAAAACAGCAUGAUAUCGUAAAAAAUCUCAACUCUCAGACAUAUAAUCGCAUUUUAUGUGUACGCAAUUACGUAAUCUCAUUUUUCCGUUGAAAUUCGCGAAAUAUUAACUGUCCUCUGUUUGGCAAAAUUUUAAGUUAUGUAUAAAUGUUCAAACUUUAUUUUUAAUUGCAUAGUUCAGUGAAUUCAAGAGAUUAUUCAUUUGUCCACUAUUUAUUUUUAUCUCUUUAUAAAUUCUUCCCAAAUGGUAUGUGAAUGAUAUUUUUCUCUAUACGUUAUUUUUGCAUACUUUUUCUAUGCAUGACAUGAGAUUAAACAGUGAAAAUUUUUGAACUUGCAAUUUCUUUUCUAUAAUAUAUUUAUGCACAACAUCGGUAAUAACUAAGAUUCAGUGAUGCAGAUUUUAAAUUAUAUCAUAAAGUUCCUUAGAUGCUUGUAUAAAAAAAUGCCGGAAAAUUGACAAGGAAGUGGUGGUUCCUAUGGAUUCACAAAACAUUCAAAUGUCUUAUGUGGGAGCAGGGGAUGGCUCAUUUUUUGUUUAAUCAUAUAAUGUCACAUCAUAUGGGAUGAUCUUCAUUGGGAACAAAUAGCAUUACUCCUUGUAUGGACUUGACUAGGGGUGGACAAAAUGUCCAGACCAAAUCAAAUCAAAUCAGAACCAAACCAAAUUGAGCGGUUCGGUUCAAUUCCACCAAAAAAAAAAAGAAAAAAAAGAAGAAAAAAAAAAGGGGUUUUGGUUCUUCGUACCGAGAACCAUUUGGUUUUGGUUCAAGUUUGAUUCUAGUUUUACAACCGAGAACCAAACCAAUGACCAAUCUUAAUUUAUAAUUUUAUUUUUAUAUGAAUCUAAUUUUGUAUUAAUUGAAGUCAAUCCAAUAGCCAUUAUUUUUGUACAACCCGUUAAGGGUAUACAGUUCUAAUGAAUAGGCGAAGGGUAUGAAAGUAUUUUUUUUUCUUCACAAUAAGUACAAGAUUGAAGAUAUUUGCAUAAAGAAAUUCAUGGUCAACACAUUCUUGAAUUAUAAGUUGUCAAAUUUCAAAACCCCAAUACUUUAAUUUUAUUGCCAAUGAAUACAUUAUCUUUUUGGUAUUUUUCUAGUGGCAGGAUUACAAGUAUCUGUAAUUAUAUAUUGAGAUUUUUAAGAUCAAAAGUGACUCUAUUUGUUGUCAUUCUAUAUCUUGUGGUGGUUUAAAAACAAAAACCUCUUGGAAACUGAAAAUGCCACUUGUUGGCUAAAUUGAGAUAAUAAGAAGGUUUAACUAACUACAUCCUUUGUGGGCAUGUUCAGUCAGAAUUUCCAAACCACCAAUCAUAGUCAUAACCAAACUGAACUAAUUUCCAACAACAUUAAACAUAUAGUUUGUGAUGAGGUUCGUGUGGAAGAACAAGCACUUGCAUAUUUGGAAAGCCUGGAUUGUCGGCAUUUGAAUAAUUGAACGUAACUUUUGCAUAUGGUGUCCGUUUUGGGUGCAUAAGUAUUUUUCGAAAAGGUAGCGACUGUUUUGGAUUGAACUCAUUGCUUUGUCGUGACGUAUGAGGGAUUUUGGCCGUUUGAGAUCGUUUGUUGGGUCAAAACCGCAUUUCAUAUUUAUUAGUUUAUCUUUUUUUUAAUAUUUCUUAUUUUUGCGUUUAGCCCAGCCCAUUUAGGGGCUGCUGGCCCAGCAGUAUACCAAAUUCUUAUCAUAUUUAAUCCCCUCAAAAAAAUGUGUGUUUGUUUUCUUGGUUGUUGAAGAAAUAAAAAAUUUAUUGUUUCUUACAUCAAUCCGUGAGAGCGAAUAUUUGUUUGAGUUUGUAGAUCAGAUCUACAUCAUCUGGUAUCCGAGCAUGGUUCGAGGAAGAGGACGUGCUGGUCGCAGUGGCAGUGGUGGCCAGGCCGACGAAGUGACAUAUCUGCGAAACCAGGUCGAGGCAUUUACAGUUCGAUUCGAUCAGUUUAUGAUGUGGGCGGCGAAGAUCGUACAGAGCGGAGCGCCUCCUGCCUCUCCACAUCCUGCCCCAACGAGUGUUGGGGACGGGGAUAUGAAUCAGGCGAGGUGUCAGAUGAGACAUUGUCGAAGGUACAUGGUAGUUGUGUUCAACAGCCACGUGCGCAACAACAGGACGCGUUUCAUCGUUGGGAAUCUGGAUUCAAGGUGGAUCUGCCUGAGUUUCACGAUGGAAUAGAGGUGGAUGAAUUUCUUGAUUGGCUAGCGGCAGUAGAGGAGAUCUUAGAUUAAAAAGAAGUGCCCGACGAUAAGUGGGUACCCUUGGUGGUGAUCCGCUUACGGGGCAGUGCCGUUGCUUGGUGGCAACAACUAAAGCAAAAUCGAAUCUGUCAGGGCAAGAUGAAGAUCUAGUCUUGGGAAAAAAGUGAAGAAACAGUUGAAGGCUGCGUUUCUUCCCUUCAACUACACCAGGACCUCGUACCAGCGCUUGCGGAAUUUAAGGCAAGGAAUCGUUCUAUGGAUGCUUAUUCCACAGAAUUUUACCAGUUAACAGCGCAUAAUGAUGAGGGAAAGUCAGAAGACCAGUUGGUGGCGCACUAUAUUGGUGGCCUAUGGUUGAAUCUACAGGAUAUUCUUAAUAUGUUUUUAUCGGUGUCAGUUUCUGAGGCUCAUCAACGUGCGCUUCAGGUCGAGAUAUAGUAACAACGCUGUUCUACAGUUGGCAAUUCUGGUGGUCCAUCUGGAGUGGGGGUCGAACAUUUAUCCCAAAUCCCACAUCUAGUCUGUCUCAAUCCUCUUCAUUAGGGGGUCGGGGCAUUGAUCGAAACACUCGGUUAGCGACCCCUCAAACCGCUAACCCGAGUGGCUGGGCUCCUCCUGGUGGACGAGGGCGUGGUAGUUAGUGUUUUGGUUGUGGCAGCUUUGGCCAUUUGAGGAGGGACUGUCCAUCCCAAGGACAAUCACGACCAGGUUUAUUCAUCGGAGGAGGGACACAAAACGAUGUACAGGAGCAUGCUCAUGAGGUGAAAGAGGAAGACGAAUCUGAAAUUGUGCAUACAGGUGACAUGGGUCCUCUAUUAGUAGUACGGCGGGCAUGCCUUACACCUAAGGGGUCACCUGAGGAAUUGCAGCGAAAUAACAUAUUUCUGUCCACUUGCACCAUUGGCGGGAAGGUGUGUAGGUUCAUCAUUGACGCAAGCAGUUGUGAAAACGUGAUAUCUGAGGCGACUGUGUAGAAAUUGAAAUUGACCACAGAACCCCACCCUGCUCCCUACAGUUUGGCAUGGUUGAGACAAGGUAACGAAAUUUGUGUUAAUAGUCAUGUGUUGGUAACUUUCUCCAUUGGCAGUGUGUAUUAUGACAGUGUUUGGUGUGAUGUGGUGCCUAUGGAUGCUUGUCAUUUGUUGUUGGGCCGUCCAUGGCAGUUUGAUAGGGAUGUGUGUCAUGAAGGGCGUCAGAACGCGUAUACAUUCACCUUUUCGGGUAAAAAAAUUGUGCUACUACCCUCCAAAGAUGUUCAUUGUAUGUUUUCGGUAGGGGAUAGUAGUAACUUACUUUCUCGAUCCUUGUUUGUACGUGAAAUGAUGGUAGAAGGUGUCGUCUUGUUAUUAGUCGGAACUGAGGCGACGUGAGUGUCGACAGUUCCUAUUACAAGUGAUGAGGCGGAACUUCACCCUAAAGCAGCCACCUUGAUUUCUGAGUUUCAGGAUGUAUUCCCAGCUGACCUUCCACAGGGUCUUCUACCUUUGCGGGAUAUACAACAUUAGAUUGAUUUAGUACCCGACACAUCACUGCCUAACUGUCCACAUUAUCGAAUGAGCCCGGCAGAGGAUGAGGAGUUGAGGAGACAGAUAGAAGAGUUAGUGCAGAAGGGUUACAUCAAAGAAAGCCUCAGCCCGUGUGCAGUUCCCGCGCUUCUAGUGCCAAAGAAAGAUAGGAGUUAUAGGAUGUGUGUAGACAGCAGGGCCAUCAAUAAAAUAGCAGUUCGUUAUCGUUUUUCGAUACCAAGGUUGGAUGAUUUACUUGACCAAUUGGCAGGAGCAACAGUAUUUACCAAACUAGAUUUGAAGAGUGACUACCAUCAAAUUCGAGUCCGCCUUGGUGACGAAUGGAAAACAGUGUUCAAAACACGGGAGGGAUUAUUCGAGUGGCUAGUGAUGCCCUUCGGACUGUCCAAUGUACCUAGCACAUUCAUGCAGGUAAUGAACCAAGCACUUCGACCGUUUAUUGGUAAGUGCGUUGUUGUUUACUUUGAUGAUAUAUUAGUCUACAGUGGGUCGGAGGAGUCUCAUGAUGUGCAUUUAAAGGAAGUCCUUACUAUUUUUGCGCAAAGAAAAGUUCUUUGUAGCCUUUAAGAAGUGCGUAUUUUAUACCGAUAAUGUUCUAUUUUUGGGGUAUGUGGUGUCAGCCGGUAGAGUAACAGUGGAAUCGGCUAAGGUUGAUGCAAUCCGUCAAUGGCCGUGUCCGCAUUCAGUUUCUGAUGUGUGGAGUUUUCAUGGUUUGGCAUCAUUCUAUCGAUGAUUUAUUCAGCAUUUUAGCACCAUCAUGUCUCUCAUUAUUGAGUGCAUGAAUGGGAGUAAGUUUCAGUGGAUGCCCGAGGCGGAGAAAGCAUUUAUGGUUAUUAAAGAGCGCCUGACUUCAGCCCCAGUACUUGCGCUGCCUGAUUUCACAAAACCUUUUUGCAUUACAUUGUGAUGCCUCUAAAUUGGGCAUUGGAGCUGUUCUGAACCAGGAAGGAAUACCAUUGGCUUAUUUUAGUCAGAAAUUGGCAAGGGCUCGUGGGAGAUAUAGCACUUAUGAUACAGAAUUUUAUGCCAUUGUUCAGGUCGUUUGUCAUUGGCGACAUUAUCUAUUUCAGUGAGAGUUUAUCUUAUACAGUGAUCAUAAAGCCCUCAAGCAUUUGUCUAGCCAAGAUUCUGUGUCUUUCCGUCAUUCAUCUUGGAUUGCCUUCUUACAGCAGUUCAACUUUAUCAUUAAACAUCAGGCUGGCUCUUCAAAUCGUGUGGCAGAUGCACUCAGUCGUCGGCACGAGUUAUUAGCACACCUACAGGUGGCAGUUACUAGGUUUGAGACCUUUGCCUCUCUUUAUGCUGAUGAUCCUUAUUUUGGCCCCAUCUUUCACCGUCUACUGCAGGGUCCUCAUUCCCUCUUUCUGUUAGAGGAUGAUUACGUGUUUCGGGGUGUUCAGUUGUGUAUACCACAUUGCAGCCUACGUCUGAAAUUGAUUGAGGAAUUUCACGACGAGGGCCAUGUUGGCCGCGAUUGCACUUUAGCCCUGGCCAGUACUUCAUUUUUUUUUGGCCUACUAUGCGUCGUGAGGUGGAGAAGUUUGUUUCGCGGUGCAGGGCAUGUCAUGUAGCAAAAGGCAAAGCCACCAACGUUGGGCUUUAUCAACCCUUACCAGUGCCUUCAGCUCCUUGGAUUGAUAUUCGUAUGGAUUUUGUUCUGGGUUUAUUGCGCACUCAGCGUGGUAAUGACUCUAUUUUUGUGAUGGUGGAUCGCUUUUCAAAAAUGGUGCAUUUCAUCCCUUGUAAACGUACUACUGAUCCUGUCAAGGUUUCACAGCUAUUUUUCAGAGAGAUUUAUCGUCUUCAUGGAUUGCCCACUUCUAUUGUGUCUGAUAGAGACACCAGAUUCAUCACUCACUUUUGGCGGAGCUUAUGGAAGUCAGUGAACACAUCGCUCAAUUUUAGUAGUGUUUACCAACCUCAAACAGAUGGACAGACUGAGAUCAUGAAUUGUUCUUUGGGAGAUUUGCUGUGGUGCCUAGUUGGAGAUAAUCUUCGCUCAUGGGAUCAACGACUUAGCUAAGCAGAGUUUACGUAUAAUCAUGCUCGAAACAGAAGCACCGGCUUUAGUCCAUUUCAGGUUGUGUAUAGUAUUCUGUCCCGCAGCCCUGUGGACCUACUGACUCUGUCCUCUAAAACUCGGUUGCACGGGACGGCUGUUCACUUCGUCCGUAGUUUACAACAGGUUCAUGAAGAGACACGAGCGAAUCUGCUAGAGUCCAACCGUAAGUAUAAGGAGGCAACUGAUCGGCAUCGACGUUCUGUUGAGUUUGACGUUGGGAAUUUUAUUUGGGCUGUAUUGACUAAAGACCGAGUCAACUGAGUAUUCAAAAUUAUCAUCCCGCACCAUUGGUCCAAUGGAAAUUAUAGAGAAGAUUAACCCCAAUGCUUACCGCCUUCAACUUUCUUCUCAUAUACGGACUUCGGAUGUGUUUAAUGUGAAGCAUCUUUUGUCCUACCAUGGCGACAACAUAGAGGAUGGUGCUAACAGUUCUGAUUCGAGGGCGAAUACCAUUGAUCCAGGGGAGAAUGAUGAGGUUCGUGUGGAAGAACAAACACUUGCAUAUUUGGAAUGCUUAGAUUAUUGGCGUUCGAAGAAUUGAGCAUAACUUUUGCAUACGGUGUCCGUUUUGGGCCCAUAAGUACUUUUCAGAAAGGUAGCGAUCGUUUUGGAUUGAACUCGUUGCUUUGCCGUGACGUGUGAGGGAUUUUGGCCAUUUGAGAUCGUUUGUUGGGUCAAAACCACCUUUCAUUUUAUGGCAUUUUUGCCCUUAUUUCCACAUUUCUUUGCGGAAAACGUCCUUGUCACCAUUUUUUAAUGUAAAAUGACCAAAAUACCCUCAUAUUUAAAUAAAACCCAAAAAUAAAGAAAAGAAAAAUAAAGAAUAAAUUACAAUCUUAGCCCUAAAUGUUUUAAAAAGUGCAAGUGAGUCCAAAUAAUUAUUAAAAGGCCUAAUAGCACAAAACGUUCAUACGUUUGGUCUAUAGUGUGAAAAACAUCCCUACGUUUCAAAUUGUUAAAAGAGGUGUUUUUCGCAAUGAAACGUGGAAAUAGGGAUGAAAACAUAAAAAAAUUGAAAAGUUGAGACGUUUUUCUGCAAAAAAUAUCAAACAUAGGGAUAUUUUUUGCUAUUAGCCCUUAUUAAAAUAUUAAAAAUAACGAAAACUUCCUCUCUCCCCCUCUCUCCCUCUCUCUUUUCUCUUUUUCUCCAAAUGGGCCAAUCACCUUAGAAGCCAAAAAAUUCUAGCAAAUCACCAUCCAAACUGCUAGACUACCAUACCACCGAAAAGCCCUCACUUCCUUCUGCACAUACCACCCAACAUCCAAUCUUGAAACCUUCAUGCCAAUAGAUUUGUUAGGAAUUGCAAACCAAAAUACUCAACUCGCGAAUGUAAAUACUGGUGGCAUCAUCUAUUUUGGAGAGACCCAUGCCAUUUCCAACACACCAAUCGACUAAACUCAUUAGGGCGCCUCUCUUCAUAGUCUUAAAAUAUCAACAGAUAGUUCAACGAUAUGGAGGUUUGAUGGUUAGUGGAAGUUUUUUCACUUCUAAUGUAGCAGUCCCAUUUGGAGAAUAAGAGAAGAGAGAGAUAUUUUAUUUUAUUUUUAAUAUUUUAAUAAAGCCUAAAAGGAAAAAAAAUCCAUACGUUUGACACUUCUUGCGAAAAAUGUGCCUACGUUUCAAUUUUUUUGCGUUUUCAUCCCUAUUUUCAUGUUUCAUUGCGGAAAACGUCUCUUUCACCAAUUUGAAACGUAGGGACAUUUUUCACACUAUAGACCAAACGUAGGAACAUUUUGUGCUAUUAGGUCUUUUAAUAAUUAUUUGGACUUACUUGUACUUUUUAAAACAUUUAGGAGAAGAUUGUUAUUUAUUCUUUAUUUUUUUUUUGGGUUUUAUUUAAAUGAGAGGGUAUUUUAGUCAUUUUACAUUAAAAAUGGUGAAAAAGCACGUUUUCAGCAAAGAAAGGUGGGAAUAAGGGCAAAAAUGUCAAAAAAAAGGUGGGGACGUUUUCCACAAUAAACCUUAAAGAUAGGGACGUUUUGUGUCAAUUAUCCAAACAUUUAAUAGGGUCCUCACAAAAAUAAUCAUAAAAAGAGACAAAAUGAUCAGAUCAUUGAUGAUGCAUACAAAAACUAUACCAACGGUUUAUUCAGACAGAAUUACCGACAACGAUUAGUGAUCAUCGACACAUAUCGUUAGCAUUUACCGAAGAAAUAUGUUGUCUGUGAUAUCGUUGGCAAUCAUCGAUUGUGCUUCGAUUGAUGAUCAUUGACGAAGAAUCGGCUAUUACUUCUCCAAUUUUUAUUUUUUUUAGUAAUUUGUCGGUUAGUUAAGAUUUCUUUUCUUUUCUUUUUUUCUCUUUUAUUUAUAUUAUACAAGUCAUAAUUAUUACCGACAAAGUUUUCUCAUAUAUAUAUAUAUAUAUAUAUAUAUUAGAAAAAUCAUUUGGCGUACUAAAUGUACUGAGCCCUCGUUUGACCCCCAUUUUUUGGAAAUGAAAAUGAAUGAAAUAGUAUUUUUUUGAAAAAUGAGUGGUUGAAAAAAAAAAUUCUAAUACUCCAUUCUUGAUGUUACAUUAAUACUUCCGAUAUUAUUUGUUAACUAUAAGUUUGUACUUCGAUAAUGUUGUUUUUAUAUUUAUUUUCACUUUUUCGUCGGUAAAUUGAACUCAUAAGAGUUACUUUUAACUAUCACUGUCGAGAAGAUCUAAGAUUCAGUCUAUAAAACUAACUGGAAUGAAAUUUCUUUAGGGGCUCUAUCAAAAUUUGAGGCUUAGGUGACCCAUAUAACACUCUCUUAAAAUAAUGUUAUUUAUAUCUAUUAGAGAUUAUAAAAAAAGGUCGAACCUCAAUCUUGAGGGCACUCAUCACCCCGCCCCAAGAGUUUUAUGAGAAAGGUAAAUCGUGGAAUGUGCCCCAACAAGCUAGAGAAUAAGAGCUACCUGUACACGGCGCCUACAAUGAGUCCAAUUUCAUGUCUCAGGAAUCGAACCCCCACACUGCGGCUACCAACAAGACGUGAGAUAACUUCACUCCUAUUUUUUGCACUAUUGGAUUAUGUCUCGAGAGGCAUCUAUUAGAGGUUAUCAAAAAAAAUGUUGAACCUCAACCUUGAUGGUCCCCCACCGCCCCGCCCCUAGAGCAUCGUGAUGGAGGUAAAUCGCGGGAUGUGCCCCAACAGAUCAGGGAACAAGAGCUUGCCUGUACACUAGUACCCAUAAAGAGUUUGUUGGAGGAAUUUUCUGAAUAGUGAUGCCAAAAUAAGUAUAAUGAUGGUUUGUAAAUUCGUGCCGAAAAUUGGACAGAGUACAAACAAGAAGAAGAAGAAAGUAGGGACAAAGCCGAGGUAAGAGUUGGACUCUUUGUCCUUAAGUCGAAUUUGCCCCGCAACGGUGCCUACGGAUUUCGGCAAUCGACUCCCAAGAUACAACGGCUACACUUGUGUUUGUAGCACUCCAAAACACAAGUACAACGAACCAAAUUUAGGCUUAUGUACUUCAAGGAUGACAUGAAGGAAAAUCAAAAUAAAUGAAAUGAUUUUGAUUUUGGAUAGAAGAGAGGAUGAGAGAUGUUUUGCAUAUCAAAUUGUGAGGAAUAGGACACACAAAUGGUCCUAUUUAUAGACCAGAAAGGGUGUGGACGAAAUGGUUGAGGCCAAACCAUGCACCCUUUCCAAACAAUGCACCUUUAUGAAAAGGUAUCUAUUCACUAAUGGUUGAGGCCAAACCAUGCACCCUUUCCAAAUAAUGCACCUUUAUGAAAAGGUGUCUAUUCACUGAUUUUCGUCCUUUUUCGUAAUUUCUCAUUCAUCCGAUAUUGGUUUUCGAAAUGCCAAAUAUACCCUUCAAUACAUGCAGAGAAAUCAAAAUUCUCUAACGCCCCCGAGCCCCCACGGGGGGCGCUGCCCCCUCGACUCUCGCGACCUGACCGGGCAGGUCGAUCCCCGUUUGUGCGCCCCGAAGCGACGAAGUGGCAAACAAUUUUGCCUAAACGGAUUGAGUCGAGCUUUUGAGUAUUUGGCCGAAGUCGAUACGAAGUCACUUUAAUCGAUUUCAAUUCUCGAUUUAUUUAACCAAUAUCCAACAGAGUUCAAUUCCAUAUCUCAUGAAUACAUCUAUUAGAGAUUAUCACAAGUGCUGCAGGUGGUAGAUAAUAUACUGUAAAAUAAUAAUAACAAUUAAAUAUGUAGAUAUGUGAUCACUUUAUUAGUUUUAUAAUGUGAUGUCAUAUCACAUGCCUCUAGCAAAGACAAAUAACAUAUAUCUCUCUCUCUCUCCAAUCUCCUAUCAACGAAACAAGGGACCUGUGCUUGGGAAAGGGCUAAAAACUUUUCCGAGGAUUCCCAAAAUCUCGAAUUUGAUGCUCAAGACUGGUUCAAUCACUUGUCUAGAUUGAAUUCAAAAAAUUAAACUAAAUAAAUGAAAAUAAAAAAAUCUUUAUCUAAUCCAGAAAAUUUGUAAUUUGUAUAUACAUUUGUAUAACGAUCGAUAAAUAUUGAUCCCUUCUUACCAUUACAUGGUUAAAAAUAGAAUUGGUGUUUCAAUUUAUCCUGCGAGCUGCAUAAACUUUCUUUAGAGAGCUGCUUGCUUAAAAAUGGGUAUUAAUACUUGUUAAAUAUAUAUAUAGCCAUUGGGCUAAGUCUCUAUGAAGAGCCACUCACAUAUUUAUUUAUAGUUCGCCUUCCACUACAAGUCUUUCGUCUCUCUCGGGAAGGCGUUAGAGUGGGUUGAUAAGAACUUAUCGUAGAUCGGUGAAAAUCCAAUCGUGUACGCUCAGGAUGCUAAACGCCCCUUUCAAAUCGUUUUGCUUAUCUGACACACACGGAUGUGGAGUUGAUAUGUGAUCACACAAUUUCAAUUUGCUAUUGUUGUUGCAUAAAUAUGUUUUUAUACUUGGCAUUAAGUGCACUAACCUAAGAUGGUUGGUGAUGCAUUGUUGCAAAGAAGAUGAGAAAGUAGGUCCCCCAACAUGUGUAGCCAUCGCAACAUUUAGUUUAAAAUUUGACUUGAACUAAAGAAAAAGAAAGUAAAGCAAGGUAUCAUAUCUGACGGAUAAGGUUAUAAAAUUAUUAAUUGAGGCACCUGUAAAGAAUUGUGAAGAUAGAUAUUGAGGCAAACCAUGAUAUAGAGAAUUUGGGUUAUGGUGUAGAUUGUUGGAUUUGAAAUAAAAGAAAAUCAUGGGCUAAGGAAUGAACCAUUGAAGUUUGAGGGACCAUGUUUUAAAUUAGAACAAAGCCAUUAAUAAUCAUAUCUCCAUCUAUAUAUUAACCGUAGGAGUAAUGAUAUUUAGUUCUAUUGGAAUUAUAACUCCGGUUUAGAUAGCUGUAUAUUAUAGGUUGAAUGAAACAUGGAAUUAAACGAGUCAUAUAAUUUCGUCUAUCAUUUAAUGCCACAUUAGAGUCACCUAACCUGAGUUUGCAAUCCCAGUGAUAUUAUAUAGUAUUACUUUAAUCUCGAUAAUUAAGAAUUUAGAAAUCUGCAACCCGGGUAGGAUGUGUGAUAAUUGCAAUGGAAUGCGAAAGGUAAGAAAAUGAAAUUUGACUGUCGUGGUUAGCCGACUGCCAAAGAAAGUGAGAGAAAAUUGAGAAUUAGAGAAACUAGAAGAAGAAAUUGUACAUGAAAACGUUAUUGUUUGGCAUAGGAAGAAAUUGUGAAAAUGAAAAGAAAAAAAAAUUAUCGUGCGGCUUUUUAUAUUAAUGAAAGUGUUGAUCUUGCUGAACCACAUUUAAUUAUUAUUUUUCUCCUCUUUCUUGCUCCUUUUUGUUGUUUCCGAGUUUCAACUGCUUUUGGUGAGGGGAUUAGUUUUUCCUAACACUUGAGAAUUGUUUGGCUAAAUUAUUUUACAUAUGUUCUUCCAUUUAAUCGAAUAGAGCUUCGACUUAGAGUUGAAUUUGAAAUAUCUUUUGUUAGUCUAUUUUAACUGUUAAAAAUCCCUAGUCCAUAUUAUAAUCCUUUGCAUGGGGUACUACAAUAUUGUAAAUUUGUAGUACCCCAAAGAGAGUUAGACGUUCCAAUUUUAAACUUUAAUUUUUUUUAUUUUUAUUUUCAAUUGUAUAAUCUCUCGAUAAAAUAAUUUACACUUGAAUCUAUAUUUUUCCUCACAGAUAAACAGAAGCUUAUAAGUAGACAACAAAUUGUCAAGGAUCCAGUGGGAGACCAAAAAUGAAAAGGAAUAAAACAAUAUAAAUUAGCAUUCUUCUGUUGAUAUUUCCAAAAUAAUUUUAUCCAUUCUCGUUGCUUUUUUUAUUUUUACUUUUUGGUACCCCACCCCCAGCAACUUGUACCUUCUUAGUCCUUCAUAUCUCCCCAGGCAGAUUUAGGGUUUCGGUUCAAUCGAGGUAAGAUUCAGGUCCUCUUAAUUGUAAUUCAUUAUUUUAUUUUUUAUGUUUUAAAAGUUAAAUUGUGUUGAAAUAUUAUUAAAAAUAAUACUAGAUGGAACACAAAUGAGGACAUCUCCCCUAGACAUUUGAAUUUUGAAGUGUGUGUGUGUGUGUAUAUAUAUAUAUAUAUAUAUAUAUAUAUAUAUUUAUUUAUUUAUUUAUUUUUUUUAAAAUUUUUUACAGUGAUUAGAAAAAAGAACAAAAAUCAGCCGCUUCCCGCUUUUCAAGCCACGUCACCUGAAAUAUUGACGAAAUGGGCCCCUUUAAAAUACUCAUUGAUCUUCCAGCGAACAUUGACCCGUCACCUGAAAAUUUUCUACCAUUUAUUAUAUGGGGAAUUUGGUGAGAUUGCCAAGUUUGCCAAUGUUUUUGGAGAAAUAGCCUUUGACCAAUACAAAGAGGUAAAAAAAAAAAUGAAAAUAGUUUAAUUGACAAAAUGACCAAACUAUCCUUCACAUUUUAAUACAAAAAUCCUUUCAUAUUCCCUCUUUCACCCCAUUUCUUCCUAAGGUAAAAACCCUAUUUCCCCAAAUUCAAAAAUAAUGUCUCUCUUCUUCUUUCCCUUUGAGAAAAUCUCACAAAAUCGACUACGAAUCUCACGAAAUCGACCUGGCCUCUGAUGUCCAUACAAAAGAACACGACAAGCAUAAGCGAUCGAUGUGACUCCCCCUACCGCCUCGAAGACUUUGUUUUGGAACUACGAGUUUGUGAAAAUUCCUCUCCUUGCUACUGUGACUGUGAAGGUGAACACAAAUUUAAGGUACGGCUUCUUCAUCUCAUGCCUUCUUCAUACUUCACCUCAUUAGUAUUGGCCUCUUCACCACCACAUUUAGUGGCCAAAUGGAUCGUUCUCCGGUAGAUAUAUUUUUGCCCAAGUAUAUUUAUAUACCUGUUCGAAGUUCUAGGUAUUAUAGGUAAAACAUGUCUUAUAAUAUAGAACCAGAAAUUACUUCGAGCUCAUUCUAGAGACUUCAGCUUCCAACAAUUUUGUCUCCAGCUGUUAUUAGUUAGUAGUUAGUUAAUUUGUUAGUUGGUUGAUUAGUUGGAUAGUUUGUUAGUUGGUUAGUCAUUUAGUCUAUAAAUAGAGCACUUUGUAUACCUUCUAAUUCAUUGGAUAUUUUCCAAUCUUCAAUAUGAUUUCAUAUUGGAUUUAUCUUUUCUUCUAUUUACUGCUCUCUAGUUCUAUGCUAGGGAGAAUUUAACAUGGUAUCAGAGCAUUUCUUCAUUGCUUCUAGUUGAGCCUCUGCUAUUCUGUAUAGGAGAUUUUACUUCAGGUUGUGUAGAUGAAUCGAGUUUCUUGUAGUCCUCAGAAAAUGUGGAUCAAAGUAGUCCACCCAAUUGAACCUUUGUAAAGGUUCACAAAUCAUGUUCCUUCGGAUAGUCACUCGAUAUCUCCAAAUUUAGUAGCUAUCAAGAGCUGCGAAGAGAGCUUGACUAAUAAAAUGCUCUCCUUUCUUCUUUUCCAGUUCACAUUCUCUUUUGUCGAAUUCCUGCAAUUAUAAUGGCAGACUUCAAUAUGGUUUGAGUUCUUCUUCAUCAGUUCUUUUCUUCAUUUCUUUGUUCUCGAGCUCCUAUACCUAUAAUGGCAGGAAACAAUGAAGUUCGAGUUGACCGAGAGAAUGAUGUUCUCCUACUUGGGGAUGACCCGUGGCAGAUCUAGUUGCACCGUUUUAUCAGUCUAACAUGCCGUGGUCACUGCUUGCAAGUGUUAUAUUUGUGCCCAUUUUUGAGAAAAUUCCUGGAGGCAGCCCUAUUCUUAAAUAUUGGCUGCUGGAAUCUUAAAUGAACCAUAUGGUGUGUCUAUGAUCCAUCAUGUUUCAUUCUAAUAUCUUCAAGAUGGGCAUUUUGAACAUCCAUACCCCUCUUGAGGGGGAGCUCUUACAAUAUAGAAUCAGAAAUUACAUGCUAUGAAGUCGAGGAGAAACUCGUAAAAUUAAAAUUUUAGAGCAUGUUUGGUCUUUUUCUUAUUAAAGAAAAAUUCAAAGUUGGCAAUAAAUACAGAAUUACAAAAUAACUACCUACUCCUAAUACUUUAGUCAAGAUAAAACCAGAUUUUUAGAAACUAAAUCACUAUGUGGGCUGUUGACCUUUGCCACGUUCAAGUCCAAUUUUGUAUUGCCGUUGUAUCCCUUCAUCGUGAACGCAAACAUAUACCAUUGGUUCUACAUAAAUACGAAACAGACAAAUAGGCAGCAACUUGCAUACUAUGUCCACCGUAAUAAAUAUCCAUAAGUUCCAUCAAGUCUUGCAGUUUUAUCCAUUAUUAUCCAUCUUUGCAUGUGGGUGGGAGUUUAGGUAGCAAAAACGAGUACAAAACCCACCAUCACAUUAUGACAUGCUUUCUUACCUCUUAAUUCUAUCUCUCUAAGUGAAAUGCAUUUGUCAAGUUUUUGGUGGCAUAUAAUUGAGCUAAGACUUGAAAUUUAAAAAUUUAUGAAAUUUCUAUAGUGCCAAAUUCCGGCCAAUACCAAGGUAAACCGGGCUCAGUUUCACCAAGAAAUCGCGACACCAACGUAUUGAGACAACUCCAAAAAACCACCACCAAGGACGCCCCACUUCCGGUUGCUAUAGGUUGGGAAGAUGAAGUCCAAUAAUAUGCCCACUAGCUAUUAACCACAAAGGUCACAGCCGAGAGGUGAGUCUCACAGAGAGAGAUUGGGCAUUCAACUAUGGAGGCUGAGAGGAAGGCCAAGAAUAUAAGUGAAGUAAAUAUCCAAACAAGGUAAGUUAGGUUAUGGUUAUUUAGUGGACCAAACAAGGCUUGACUCAAAGAUAAUGGGCUUCAAAUUAAUAACAUAGCUUUCCAAGGAAAUGGGACGAACCGUGAGCAAUACUAUUAACAAUAGGUUACUUCGAACGGUCCAUACGAAUGUAGAUUUGGGUUGUCUCGAUAAUUGUGUCGAUAUACUAAUCAAUCAUAUGGCCAAGGCCGAUUGAUGAUAAAACCAGGGUUACAUCAUAGUCCGGGGGGUCGUUUGACAACAAAUUGCUUAACAACCUCCACCUUGGUGUCAAAGGACCUGCAAAAGAAAAAUGUCUCCCAUUAGUGACACCUCUAAUAAAAAACAGAAAAAAAUUGGAAAUCAUUUACUUGUACCGAUGUUUAGAAGUUCCUUGCAACUUCUAAACAUUGCCAGUGGUAGUACCUUCGUCCCUAUAUCAGAGAGGUUGUAGUGGGUGUGGGCUUUUUCAAGUCUUACCACCUCUUGAGAUACUGUAUCUCUAAUGAAGUGGAGUCUAACAUCAAUGUGUUUAGUGCGCUCAUGAAAAACGGGGUUCUUGCAUAAAUGUAUAGAUGACUGACUAUCAGAAUACACUACCACAUAAUCAUUCAAGACACAUAGUCCAUGAAGUAGACCUCUAAGCCAUAGGGCUUCUUUAAUAGCUUCGGUGGUAGCAAUAUAUUCUGAUUCUGUAGUGGAUAGUGCAACAAUAUGUUGUAACUGUGAUUUCCAACUAACACAUGAAUUUUAUAAGGUAAACAUGUAAGAUGAAUUAGAUUUCAUACCAUCCCUAUCUCCUGCGUAGUCUGCAUCUACAAAACCCUUUAAUUUUAUACCUUCUUUAUUAGCACUAAACUAUAAACCUAUGUCACUUGUACCCUUCAAGUACUUUAAUAGCCACUUUAGUGCUUCCCAAUGCUUAGGGCUUGGAUUAGCCAUAUAUCUACUGAGAAUACUAACAGCAAAACCUAAAUCCGAUCUAGUGCAAAUCAUCAAAUACAUUAUGGAACCAAUCACAUUAAAGUAAGGCACUCUAUUCGUGUAUUCUACUUCACGCUCAUUGCAAGGAGAUUGGUCCUUCGAUAAAAUAAAAUGAUUAGCAAGAGGCAACAUGACAGGUUUGUAAUUACUCAUAUUAAAUUUCUUCAAUACUUUGGAUAUUUAUGGAGACUAAUGCAAAAACAAAACAGAAUUUGACCUAUCUCUUUUGAUUUCAAUACCUAAGAUUCUCUUAGCCUUACCUAAGUCUUUCAUGUCAAAUUUACCACUUAGUUUUACUUUUAUAUUAUUUAUCCACUUAGAGGAUGAUCCAAUCAAAAGCAUGUCGUCCACAUAGAGCAAAAAAAAUAGAUAAUUAUCAUCUGUCUCAUUGUGUUGAAAAUAUAGGCAGUGAUCAGAUUUACUUCUUUGGAACCCUAUAGUAAGUAUAAAGGAAUCAAACCUCUUGUACCACUGUCUAGGAGAUUGUUUUAACCCAUACAAGGAUCUUCGAAAACACACAUAAUCAGGUUUUGACUUAUCCUUAAAACCUUUUGGUUGAUUCAUGAAAAUUUGUUCAUCAAGCUCACCAUGUAAGAAAAUAGUUUUUACAUCAAGUUGUUCAAGUUCCCAGUCAAAGUGUGCAACCAAUGCGAGCUUGACCCUAAUAGUGGUGUACUUAACAACUGGCGAGAAAAUUUCAUUAUAAUCAACGCCCUCCUUCUGUGUAUAGCUUUUAGCUACUAACCUAGCUUUAAACUUUAGGGGUUCCGAGCUGUUAGUUCCUUCCUUAACCUUAAAGACCCAUUUGCAAUCAACAAUUGAUUUGUUCUUAGGCCUAGGUACUAGCUCCUAAGUAAGAUUCUUUUCUAAAGAACUCAUCUCUUCUUUCACUGCCUUAAGCCAUUCAUUAAAUUGAUCACUGCCUAUUGCCUCUUCAAAGGUCUUUGGCUCUUUAUCAGCUAGUUCUUCAUAACUAGCCUGGGUGAAAGCUGAUUCAGACUUAAAACCGAACCUUCUAGGUUCUCUCGUUUGUCUCUUCUCUCUAUCCCUAACUAAGUUAUAGUUAGCUAAAGGAUUUUCUUCCUCAUAGUGCUCUUCUGUCACUAUUUCGUUACUAUUCUCCAUCUUGGGUUCCUGAGUUUGAGUCUCCACCUCAUUUGAAAUAGAAGGGGCAGGUAGAUUGAGUUUUUCUAACUCCACCUUAAACUGGUCUCUCUCUUCACCUGGUUCAACUUCACUCUCAGAUUCAGUUUCCCCUUUAAUACACUGCAUCUUAAACGUGACAUCUCUACUUAUGAUGAAUUUUUGGCUUCUAUCACAUAACCUAUAACUCUUAACACCCUCAGGGUAUCCUGGAAAGACACACUUCCUAGCUCUAGGUUCCAGCUUACCCUUACUUUGAUGAGAAAAAGCUGUAAGCCAAAAGUUUUAAGUAUCGAGAAAUCACUCAGUUUACCCGACCAUCUCUCAUGAGGAGUGCCGUCAUUCAAUGCAGCAGAAGAAGUCAGAUUAAUCAAAUAACAAGUGGUCAUAACAGUCUCACCCCAAAAUAACUUGGGAACACUAGAACUAAUUAUUAUGCAACGUACUUUAUCAAGUAUGAUCCUAUUCAUCCUUUCUGCUACCCCAUUUUGCUAAGGAGUAUAAGGAACGGUCUUAUGUCUAAUUAUGCCACUUUCUUUACACAUACUAUCAAAUUCUUUAUUGCAGAAUUCUAGGCCGUUAUCUGUCUUUAAAAAUUUGAUUUUCUUGCCAGUUUGGUUUUCUACUUGUCUCUUCCAAUUGUUAAAACUAUUAAAGGUCUCAGAUUUAUCCUUCAAAAGAUAGACCCACACUUUCCUAGUGUAGUCAUCGAUAAUAGACUGGAAAUACCUAUUCCCACCCGAUGUGGGAUUACUAGCAGGACCCCAUAGAUCAGAGUGCACAUAUUCGAGCAUGCCUUUAGCUCUAUUAACACUCAUGGAGAAAGAAGUUUUAUGAUGCUUACCAAGACGCAAUGAUCACAAAAUGGCAAAUUUGACACACAGUCAUUACCAAAAGCACCUUUUUCGUUAAGUAACUUAAGUCCCUUGACCCCUACAUGAGCAAGUCUAUUAUGUCAUGUGUGUGUGUGAUCAAUCUUGGCAGAGGAGAUAGAGGGAUUCACACCUUUAAUCACUUCCCCAGUAGUAAUAUAUAUCGUUUUUCUUAAUUCCCUUAAUGAAAACUAAAGCACCCUUGAUCAUUUUUAGCAUACCAUUUCCAAUUUUACCAGUAAAGUCAUCCUUCUCAAGUCUCCCUACUGAAAUUAGAUUCCUAGACAACUCAGGAAUAUAUCUAAUGUCCUUUAAUGUAUACACAAAACCUGUGUCAAAUUUAACGUUUAUGUCACCAAUUCCAGCAAUAAUAUAGGCAAAGUUAUCAUACAGUACAACAUGUCCAACAUUAGAUUCAUGCAACUUAUAAAUUCAAUUCUUUUCAGACGUCACAUGAAAAGAUGCACCACAGUCAAGUGUCCACUCAUGCAUGCAAAAAUUAGCAGUUAGAUUUAAUUCAACAGUGUAUGCAACUGGAUUUGUAAUCAUAUAGGCCUCACCACCAUUUAUAUCGAAAGUAGAUGCUAACACAUUUACCUCAUCUCUCUCCUUAACCUUUAGCUUACCCUUCUCCUUAUGACAAUAUUUUAUAAAAUGCCACGUGUUUCCACAACCAUAGCAUUUUCUCGCCUUAGUCCUAGAUUUUGAUCUAGACCUACCUUUGCUCUUCUUUUUCUAUCCAUUACCACUUGACUCGCUACUAGUUUGAUAUCCAUUAUGACUAUUUUGCCUAAAUUGAGUUCUACCGCGCAUCAUAUGUACCUCACCGUUCCUUUUAUCAUAUUUUUCAGCUCCAAUUUCAAUUUCUUUACUUCUAAGGGAAUCUAUAAUAAUUUCAUGUGUCAACGUGUCUCUACCAUACUUAAUGGCGUUCUUAACUUCCUUAUAGGAAUCAGGAAUUGCAUUGAGCAAAAUUAUAGCCUUAUAAGUUUCGGACACUGUCUCAUCACAAUUAACUAUAUCUUGCACCAAUUUGUUAAACACGUCUAAAUUGCCAUCAAGAUCCUUUGAAGGAUGAUCCAUUUUGAAACUGAAAAAACGUUCGAGCAAGUAAAGUUUAUUCGUUGUAGACUUAAGCAAAUACAAGUCUUCUAACUUUUUCCAAAGUUCUUUAAUGGUUUUCAGUUUACCCACCUUUCUUAAAACGGCGUCAGACAAGUGUAAAAUGAUUGAGGUAUAAGCAAGCUUAUCGGCUUCUUCUGUUUGUUCUUGUGAAAAAUCAGUUGAAAUAUUGCCUUCAAUGGCCUUUGAAACCUUUUGUUGGACUAAAAUGCCUUUCAUUUUUUGUUUCCAAAUAGCAAAGUCACCCUUUCCAUUAAAAAUUCCCAAAUCAAAGUUGUGAGUUGUCAUCUUUACACAACAGUCAAAGAAUGCACAAACCACAAUCAAACCACACAAAGUAGUCCUAGGGUCACAGACAGUAUACACCAUUCUAGAUUCCCAGAGUUUCGUAAGACUCGUGGUCUUAGAUCAAGGGAAUGUUCGAACGGGUAAGGUCACGAUAUUUCUAACGGAAUAAGUAAGCAGCGGGAAAUAACAAUGCAGUAAAAAAUACGUCUGGCAGAUAACUAGUCUCACAGUAAAAACUAAUUUUAACCCAAAAGCAAAUACUUAAUCAAAACAAUCAAGAGCACGUAACCCUAAUUCUAGCACAAGCAAUGGUUGUCAAGCAAUGACAACCCCCAACCUAUUGUCACCCCACACGGUGACGCGCUAAUGCUGAAAAUUAACGGGUUAAACCAAUUUACCAGAGAGGACGUGUCUGAGCCUGUAUAAUCGUGAGAGAUGUAAAUUUGCUGCUUUAGGGCCACCACUAUUCGCCCUAAAGAUUCAGCAAAUAUAGCAAUUCUGAUCAGCAACAAAUGCAGAUUGAAGGACAAAAUCGUCCAAAUUUUUCUGCACAACCUGAAACACUAAACCAAACACAUUAAUACGUUCAGGAAAUCAAAAUGAGUGAAAUGGCACGAAAAAACUGUGCAGGCAGCCUCCACGCGCCGCCACCGGUUGUCGCCCCACGCGCCUCACCACCGGAGGCGCCUCCACCUGCUAGUUAUGGGUCCGGCCUCCGUUCGUCCAACAGAGGUUGCGUUUGGCCGGAAUUUACAAUUUCAGAUUCGGCCCCUUUGAGAAAUCGCGAGACCCGCCGCCGUUUUGGUGGAUUUUUGGCCGGAGGAGAUGACCAACAACUCUGAUAUCAAAUGUAGUGCCAAAUUUCGGCCAACACCAAGGUAAACUGGGCUCAGUUUCACCAAGAAAUCGCGACACCAACGUAUUGAGACAACUCCAAAAAACCACCACCAAGGGCGCCCCACUUUCGGUUGCUAUAGGUUGGGAAGAUGAAGUCCAAUAAUAUGCCCACUAGCUAUUAACCACAAAGGUCACAGAGAAGAGAUGAAAGAACCGAGAGGUGAGUCUCACCGAGAGAGAUUGGGCAUUCAACUAUGGAGGUCGAGAGGAAGGCCAAGAAUAUAAGCUAAGUAAAUAUCCAAACAAUGUAAGUUAGGUUAGGGUUAUUUAGUGGACCAAACAAGGCUCGACUCAAAGAUAAUGGGCUUCAAAUUAAUAACAUAGCCUCCCAAGGAAAUGGGACAAACAGUGAACAACACUAUUAACAAUAGGUUGCUUCGAACGGUCCAUACGAAUGUGGAUUUGGGUUGUCUCGAUAAUUGUGUCAAUAUACUAAUCAAUCAUAUGGUCAAGAUCGAUUGAUAAUAAAAUCGGGGUUAAAUCAUAGCCCGGGGGAUCGUUUGACAACAAAUUACCUAACAAUUUCUUUAAAAGCACAAUCCUCAUGCUGCAGACUAAAUCUUCAUAAAGCAAGUACUAAAGAUAUGAUCGACAUUCAGGAAUAACACUUAUUUGUUCCUCGCAAUUAGCUUAUAUAUCGUCCUGAGCUUUCCUAACAAAUAUAUCUUCCUUUACUACAAUUUUGUGUUGCCUUGGAGCUUUCUAUGUGUAGUCAUGAAAUAGCUUGUAAGUCAUUAUUUUUGUCCAAUGCUUUGGUAAAUGAUUGCUUUGAGAAAUAAGAUUGCUAACUCAAUUAUUGUUUUGCAUUUUACCAUAGGAAAAAUGGAUGCUGAAAACAUAGUGAACGUGAAGAUAAGUAAUAGAUAUAGAAUGAAAUUGAUCAAUGAAGUUUUCUACAACUUAGAUGACAAGCAUCAGGACCUAUUCACCAACUCCUACUUUGGACAUUUGUUAAGCCUAAGAAAUAUGAAGCUUGCAUCCCAAUUAGUCCACCAAUUGAUUCUAAGGUCGACAAGUACCUCAAAAGAAAAUGAAGUAUUUAUUAAGGUUGGAGACAAGCUUGCAAAGUUUGGAUUGCAAGAAUUCAUACUGGUGACUUGGCUUAAAGCUGGGGAUUUGGAGAACGAGGAUCCGAAACUAGGGCAAAAUUGUAGAAAUCAUAAGAAUGAUAAAUAUAAGUUGGGCCUCCUCGUCAUACUGAUGUACGUGCUUUUGGCAUCAGAGGAGAAUACAUUUGUUAACCCAUGGUUGUUUUAUUUGGUGGAUGAUCUCGAUGAAUUUAACAACUAUUCGUGAGGGAGAAAGUCAUACGAGUACACUAUUAAGGUCUUUAAACGUAAUUUGGGAGACAUAUUGAAGGGUUAUAUAAGUUCUCAGCGAUAUUCGUAUUCUUUGCAUGGAUUUCCACUUGCAAUCAUGGUAAUAUGUUCUAAAAUCAUUUAAACUUUACAUUUUCUUUAAUUAUGUUACUAAAAAUUAAAUUUGUGAUUGUACAGAUUUGGGCAUUUGAAGCAAUUCCCAGUGUUGGAAAAAAACUCGAUCGUGUAACAGUCGAUUCUAGAAUUCCUAGAAUGAUAGGCUAGGAAAUGUCCAAGCAAAUCAGGGAGGAUAUACUUUGCACAAUCUUUGAAUCGUCAAAUGUGAGUUUUGUUUAUCAAAAUGUAAAUGGCGUCUAGAUAACUAUAACAAAACAAUUUGCUGAAUAAUUAUACAUUCUUGUUUUUUUUUAGAUGGAGGUACAUUAUGCUAAAUCCUACAGACGAUGAAUUGCUGGAGUCGCUCUGGAAGGAAUCUGGACCUUUUGAUGAUGAAGCGGAUCCCUAGUUGGAUAAUGUCACUUCUAAGGAUGAAGGCGGAAAAGAAUCUUAGAGUGACGAUGCUCAAUCAAGUUUCACUUACCCACAAUGUUCUAAGACAUCGGAUCGACCAUCUAUGUCUAGCCAUCUACAUUCAUUCAAGACAGCUAGACGACCCCCCACCUUCUUAUGACUAUAUUGCUCAUAUAAUAAAACAAGAAAUAAGAGGUAUUGCUCCGAGGUAAGAUGUCAGAGCGCUUCGAUCGAGUAGAAAGGAAAAUUGAUUUAUUUCUCCAAUUAGCUGGACGAGGUGGAGUUCAGUCGGAAAGAAGCGAAUUUGAUGAUCGUGCUUUUAGUACAGGCAAUCAGCAGAACUAAGAGGCAAGAGAGCGAGAUAAAGUAAUUAUUGAAGAAUGCUCUCAUGAAGAAGUCACACCAAAUAAGCAACUCGAGGCUUUUCCUACAUAUGAUGAUGGUAUAUUCUCUCUUGUACUUUUUGCUAUAAGCUACAAAGAAUUUUUAUGUUGGGUCCCAUUUGUUGGAUUUGAAGGAUUUUUAUGUUGGAUCCCAUUUGUAGGAUUUGUGCUAGAUCCUUCAUCUGCUAUAGUUUUGUACCAACAACAGCCUUUAGUAUAGACUGGAGAGACCUUUCGGAUCGAAGAAGCUCGACAAGAUGAUGUCACAGAGAAGGUGUCUAGGACAAAAGAGGAUUCAAACAUAUCUAACAAAGAUAAAAAUAAUUUAAAUUUCAAUAUUUCACUUUUUAAUCUUGUGUGUUAAAAUGGAUUGAAUUGUGUUCCAUCAACUUUUGUAGAUGAUUAUGAGAAGCCUUCGGCAUCUUCACAUGUUUGCCAACCUAGUAAUGAAAUCAUUUUGUCAUCGAGGAUCCGAAUUUUGAAUUAGCUGUAGGAAGGGGGCAUCGAGUUUAGAGAAGAGCACCAAUGCUACUUUCUCCAUACACUAAUCCCUUAAAGAAGAGAAAAUUGGUGAAAAUUCAAGCAUAUGACCCUCUAAAGGAAGUAGAUCCUGCGAAAGUUGAAGACCUCAACAAGUGGUUUGCAAAUGCAUCACGAGGUAAUUUAUUUUAUUGCAGUGAUUGACGUAAUUUUGAAUUUGCAAGUUAGCUUAGUUUGAUAUUAUUGUCGUCACAGUGAUAUAAUAUCCUUGGCUAUGUGUGAAGUGCGAAGAAAAUUCUUUGAUGAACUAUUGAAAGAUGACGAGUGGCUUAUUGAUGAUGUAAGCAAUAUUUGUAUAUUAGAAUUAUUAUUAUUGAAAUAAUGCAUUUAAUUAAUCAUGUUUUGACGUAGAACAUAUCAACUCGGCCUUAUACCACAUUAGGGAAAGGGCAAUGACAUAUCCACAUAUAUUUCAGCAAGAUUGUGCUAUAUUGGAUUGUUAUUUUUGGCAACUUUUUGGAAAGCCUACCUAAAAGCCUACCUAAAAGUGGGUAUACAUAAGAAGAAAAAUGGUAACUACGUAUUUGACCAAGAGCUCGUCGAUUAUGUUGAAGGGGCUUCACCGGUGCUCGAUAAACACUGGAAUAAAUGUAGAUUUUUGUACGUUCCUUACUGUGUACCGGGUUCUCAUUGGUUUGCACUAAAGAUUGAUUUGACGAAGCGAACUAUUUAUAUUUACGAUAGUUUGCCAAAACACAUCCGCAUUGCUCAGCUAACCAAAUGCAUGAAACCUAUUCAAGUGGUAAUUCUCUUGUUGAUAAAGGAAAACAUAGCGCGUGAAGAAAAUUUCAGCACCAACAUGUUUCGUUAUCAGAGGGUUGUAGUUCCUAGACAAACAAACGGGUAAACUUGGUUCAAUAUAACAUUUAGCACCAAUAUUUAUGACUUCUUUCGUCUAUGUCAUGUCUAUCUUACUUUUUUCCCAUUAUUAUUUUGUAGGUCUGAUUGUGGGCUUUUCACAAUAAAGUACAUUGAGUUUUUACAAGUUCAAUUGAAUAUGGAUUUGAUUCGUCCGGAAUAUAUGUCUAUUUAGAUGAACAAAUUAGCUGCAGAGAUAUUUGCAUGGCACUUUGAUCCAUAGAUUUAGGGAAUGUUUUGAUGUUAUUUUUGUAUUUAUACCUUGGAGAUUUAUUUUUGUAGUCGUAAAUGUUUGCUUCAAGUUGAAUGUUAACUGUAGUUACAGCUUUUAAGUCUUUCAUUUAAAUGUGCUUAUGCAUUUCUAUGAAAAUGACAAUUCGGUCAUUAUUUUGGUCAAGUUUUGUUCAAGAGAACGGCGCUUGUGCCGUUAAUAAUAUGAGAGAAAAGCCAUGAGAAUGGCAUAACUAUCGUUAUGUUAAAUGGUCAUUGUAUACGAGAACGUCACUGGUGUCGUUACUGAUAUUGAAAAGAUAGGGAGAAUGACACAUGUAGCAUUACAAAGACACAAACAUGUUCAUAAGAAUGGCACAAGUGUCGUUAGCGAGCAUAGAAUGACACUUGUGUCGUUAAUGAUAUGAGAGAACGGCGCUUACUUUGGUCAAGUUUUGUUCAAGAGAACAGCGCUUAUAUGAGAGAUGCUUUUAUGUCUUUCAUUUAAAUGUGCCUAUGCAUUUCUAUGAAAAUGACAAUUCGGUCAUUAUUUUGGUCAAGUUUUGUUCAAGAGAACGGCGCUUGUGUCGUUAAUGAUAUGAGAGAAAAGCCAUGAGAAUGGCAUAACUGUCGUUAUGUUAAACGGUCAUUGUAUACGAGAACGUCACUGGUGUCGUUACUGAUAUUGAAAAGAUAGGGAGAACGACACAUGUAGCGUUACAAAGACACAAACAUGUUCAUAAGAACGACACAAGUGUCGUUUCCAAGCAUAGAAUGACACUUGUGUCGUUACUACAUUGAGAUUAAACAUUAAAACGGCAUAACUGUCGUUAUGUUUAAAUAUACUAGUCACUAUCACGUGCGUUACACAAAUUUUGUAUUUAUCAUAUUUUUAGUAGUUUAUGAAUUUUAGUUUUUUGGAAAAUUUUUGAAGCAAUAUCAAGAAAUAUUUCCAUGAUAUGAAAAAAUAGUUGCAAAUUAUUUUUACAAUUGUAUAACAGUAUUGUGUCAUCUAGAAAAAAUAUACUUGUAUAUUUCAUAUUUGAAUAAGAAAUAUACGAGAUUAUACAAAUUAUUUUGCUUGUAUUCUUUGAUAUUGUUGAUAUGAUUGAGUUCAAUGUGAAGAUUAUAUUUCUAAAUUUUAUGUAAUUCAAUGUUAGAAAAUUGAAGAUUGAGCACCAUAUUCAUAUGCGUUUAUAUUCUGUGCUUCAUAUAUAUUUAAUAUUUAUUUCAUGCUAAUGUAAAAAAAAUAAAAAUCUAAAUUUUUUUCUAAAAUUUGGUUCGGUAAGUGAAUACACGGUGUUCUGCAUUCUCAGUAUUUAUAAGUGCAAAAAUCGGUAUAUAAAAAUACAGUAUGCUACAAAUACGGUAGGCAGUAUAUAUGGCAAGUUGCAAAUACGGUAGGUAGCAUAUACGGUAAGCUGCAAAUACGGUAAGGUGCAAAUAAGGUAGGCAUCAUAUACGACAAACUGCAAAUACGGUAAGCUGAAAUAUGAUAAAGUGCAAAUACGAUAGAAAUCAUAUACGGUGAGCUGCAAAUAAGGUAAGUUAUUUGCAAAUACGAUAGGUUGCAAAUACGAUAGGCUGCAAAUAUGGUAAGCAGCAUAUACGGUAAAUUGCCUGUAAAUACGGUAAGCAGCAUAUAUGGGUUUAUAAUUUGUUAUAAAUGUAUAAAAUUUAUUUAAUAUUGAAUUUCUUCAAUAUUAAAUGUUGUAAUUCAAUAUUAUUUCCUUUUUUAUAAUUGUAUUUCCAAGAAUAAAAAAAAUAAAACAAGUGGUUAUGAAAUUGCUAAUUUUUAAAUGCGUUUUUUUGUUGAAGAUAAAAAUAAUUUUUUAUGUUAUUUUUUAUAAGAUUUAUUGUAAUUUUAUUAGUGUAAUAAGAAGAUUUAUUCUUCCACACACGCAUCAUGCCAUCAAUAUUUAAAAAAUAAUAAUAAUUUUAGUAUAUAUAAAUUUCAUGAGAUAAAAAAUUAAGAAAUAAAAAAAUAAAAAUUUGUGUCGUUAGACAAGUCUACGAGAACGACACUUGUGUCGUCACUAAUCUUGAAAAGAUAUGGAGAACGACACAACUGUCGUUAUAGUGACAUAAACUUAAUAACGGGAACGAUCCAAACGACGAUAAUGUUCAUAUAAUGAUAUUUGUGCCGUUAUCGAGAAGAGAACGAGUAUUAGCAGCCACAAGCCAUCCUAGCCUCGAUAUUCCAUAAGUUUAACUCAUUUGAGUCAUGAGAUGGACACGCCGCUCACAUAAUUCGAGAGAUACCCUCGUUACUCUAGUUUUCUAACGAACGUGGAUGGUGACUUAUGAUUUGACCAACUUAACAUCCAAAAUUCAUGCCAAUUCCGCCGUUAUCCGUCACGUAAUCAAUAAUUCUAGCUUUCUUAAGUUCGGAGGCCUGAUCUUUGAGGUCGACGCGGUGGAAAUGAAGCAAAAAGGGGAGAAAUCAACAGAACGGCACAAGCGCCAUUAAACGUCACUUGUGUCGUUCUGUCUAUAAGCAUGAGUACGAGUAGCCACGAGCCUUUCGGGCCUCGAUAUUCGAUAAGUUGUACUCAUUUGAGUCGCGAGAUGGACAUGGCGCUCUCAUAAUUCGGGAGAUACCCUCGUUACUCUGGUUUUCUAACGAACGUGGAUGGUGACUUGUGAUUUGACCAACUCGACAUCCAAAAUUCAUGCUAAUUUCGUCAUUAUCUGUCACGUAAUCAAUAACUCUGACUUUUUUAUGUUAGGAGGUCUGAUGCUUGAGGUCGACGCGGUGGAAAUGAAUAGAAAAAUGGGAGAAAUCAACAGAGCGACACAAGUGUCGUUAAACGUCACUUGUGUCGUUCUGUCCAUAACUAAUAGUACGAGCAGCCACGAGCCUUUUAGGCCUCGAUAUUCGAUAAGUUAAACUCAUUUGAGUCACGAGAUGGACAUGCCGCUAACAUAAUUCAGGAGAUACCCUCGUUACUUUGGUUUUCUAACGAACGUGGAUGGUGACUUGUGAUUUGACAAUUCGACAUCCAAAAUCCAUGCCAAUUUCGUCGUUAUCCAUCACGUAAUCAAUAAUUCUAACUUUUUUAAGUUAGGGGGUCGAUCCUUGAGGUCAACGCGAUGAAAAUGAAGCGAAGAAUGGGAGAAAUCAACAAAACGACACAAGCGUCGUUAAACGUCACUUGUGUCAUUUUGUCCAUAAGCACGAGUACGAGUAGCCACGAGCCUUUCGGGCCUUAAUAUUCGAUAAGUUGAAUUUCAUUUGAGUCGCGAGAUGGACAUGCCACUCUCAUAAUUCGGGAGUUACCCUCGUUACUGGUUUUCUAACGAACGUGGAUGGUGACUUGUGAUUUGACCAACUCAACAUCCAAAAUCCAUGCCAAUUUCACCGUUAUCCGUUACGUAAUCAAUAAUUCUGACAUUUUUAAGUUAGGAGGUCGAUCCUUGAGGUCGACGCGGUGAAAAUGAAGCGAAGAAUGGGAGAAAUCAACAGAACAACACAAGCGUCGUUAAAUGUCACUUGUGUCGUUCUGUCCAUAAGCACGAGUACGAGCAGCCACGAGCCUUUCGGGCCUCGAUAUUCGAUAAGAUGAACUCAUUUGAGUCGUGAGAUGGACAUGUCGCUCUCAUAAUUCGAGAGAUACCCUCGUUACUUUGGUUUUCUAAGGAGCGUGGAUGGUGACUAGUGAUUUGACCAACUCGACAUCCAAAAUCCAUGCCAAUUCCGUCGUUAUCUGUCAUGUAAUCAAUAAUUCUGACUUUCUUAAGUUAGGAGGUCCAAUCCUUGAGGUCGACACAGUGAAAAUGAAGCGAAGAAUGGGAGAAAUCAACAGAAUGACACAAGCGUCGUUAAACGUCACUUGUGUCGUUUUGUCCAUAAGCACGAGUACAACCAACCAUAAGCCUUUUGGGCCUCGAUAUUCGAUAAGUUGAACUCAUUUGAGUCGCGAGAUGGACAUGCUGCUCUCAUAAUUUGAGAGAUACCCUCGUUACUCUGGUUUUCUAACGAACGUCGAUGGUGACUUGUGAUUUGACCAAUUUGACAUCAAAAUCCUUGCCAAUUUCACCGUUAUCCGUCACGUAAUCAAUAAUUUUGACUUUUUUAAGUUAGGAGGUCGACGCCGUGGAAAGGAAGCGAAAAAUGGAAGAAAUCAGUAGAACGACAUAAGCGUCGUUAAACGUCACUUGUGUCGUUCUGUCCAUAAGCACGAGUACGAGUAGCCACGAGCCUUCCGGGCUCAUUCGUUAAGAUGAACUCAUUUGAGUCGUGAGAUGGACAUGCCGCUCUUAUAAUUCGAGAGAUACCCUCGUUACUUUGGUUUUCUAACGAGCAUGGAUGGUGACUUGUGAUUUGACCAACUCGACAUCUAAAAUCCAUGCCAAUUCCAUCGUUAUCCGUCAUGUAAUCAAUAAUUCUGACUUUCUUAAGUUAGGAGGUCCAAUCCUUGAGGUCGACACAGUGAAAAUGAAGCGAAGAAUGGGAGAAAUCAACAGAACGACACAAGCGUUGUUAAACGUCACUUGUGUCGUUUUGUCCAUAAGCACGAGUACGAGUAGCCACGAGCCUUUCGAGCCUUGAUAUUCGAUAAGUUGAAUUCAUUUGAGUCGCGAGAUGGACAUGCGGCUCUCAUAAUUCGAGAGAUACCCUCGUUACUCUGGUUUUCUAACGAACAUGGAUGGUGACUUGUGAUUUGACCAACUCGACAUCCAAAAUCCAUGCCAAUUUCGCCGUUAUCCGUCACAUAAUCAAUAAAUUUGACUUUUUAAGUUAAGAGGUCGAUCCUUGAGGUCGACGCGGUGGAAAUGAAGCGAAAAAUGGGAUAAAUCAGCAGAACGACAUAAGUGUCGUUAAACGUCACUUGUAUCGUUCUGUCCAUAAGCACGAGUACGAGCAGCCACGAGCCUUCCGGGCCUCGAUAUUCGAUAAGAUGAGCUCAUUUGAGUCGCGAGAUGGACAUACCGCUCUCAUAAUUCAGGAGAUACCCUCGCUACUCUGAUUUUCUAACGAACGUGGAUGGUGACUUGUGAUUUGACCAACUCGACAUCCAAAAUCCAUGCCAAUUUCAUUGUUAUCCAUCACAUAAUCAAUAAUUCUGACUUUCUUACGUUAGGAGGUCUGAUCUUUGAGGUCGACGCGAUAAGAAUGAAGCGAAAAAUGGGAGAAAUCAACAGAACGACACAAUUACCGUUAAACGUCACUUGUGUCGUUCUGUUUAUAAGCACGAGUACGAGCAGGCACAAGCCUUCCGGGCCUCGAUAUUCGAUAAGUUGGACUCAUUUGAGUCGCGAGAUGGACAUGCUACUCACAAAUUUUGAGAGAUGCUCGCAUUACUUGGAGAACAUGAAAAAUGAGAACAACACUAGUGUUGUUACUGUUAUGAAAAUAGCACAAGUGUUGUUAGUUAUGUAAACACGAUACGAAUGAUUGAUAACUUAAAUAUUUAGAAAUAAAUUGUUAUUAAAUCAAUAAUAUUUAAUUUCUGAACAAUAUUUCUUUAUUUCUAGGUAAAAUACAAAAAAGGCGCGAGUGAUGUUUUGAUAUAACAAAACAAAAGAUAUCUGUCGUUAUAGCUUUAUCGAUUCUAAGACAAUGACAAAAUGAAUCAUUCCAAACAUUUUAAAUAGUUUACAUUUACGAAUGACGAAAGUAGUACAUCAUAACACCACCGUCCUUUUUAAUACUACAGAAGAAGCACAUCAUAAAAGUCAAAAUUCGACAGAUGUGCCAUUUUAUCUUCAUCAUUCAUAUCUCGCUAAGUGGUACACGAUCUGUACAAGUGAUAUGGUUAUGCCCAGUUACACGAUCUGUACAAGCGAUAUGGUUAUGCCCAGUUUUCAAACACCUACUACACUUACGAGACUUGCACACCUCUCAUGCUGAUUGUUUCCUUAUUUUUGGUAGACAUCCACUUCUUCUUCGUGUCAACGGUCGUAUUACCUUUCUUGAUCGAACAUUAUCAGGAAUUUCUCAGUCCGCCUCGUUUAGCAGUGGAUAUAUAUAUUUAGAAUAAGCUUGUUUUUAGUAAAAAGUGCUAUAAAAUGGAGAGAAAAACCUGUAACAGUUGUCUCCAACAUCCCUUACUACUGCAAUUGCAUGUGCACAUGGAAAUUGGUCAAGAUCAAAUUCCUUACAUGUGCAUGUCCCCCUCUCCAAAUUAACAAUGAAACUUUUCAUUUCAUCACUUAUUUGCAUUUCAUCUGGGCUAAGAUCUUUUACCUCGAAACCUUUUAACUCAUUAUACCUAUCAUACAUUUUCUCCUUCAAGUGCCGGAUGAGGUAGCUUGUACAUUUUUGGGCAUCAACGCGCCUAUCAUGAAACCAUCUCUGUAUCUUUUCCCUGAUAUGCUCGAUUAAAGCAAGUAUAGGAAAUUCUCGAGCACUUCUUAACAAUGAAUUUAAUGAUUCUGCAUUGUUUGUGAUCAUACUAUUGUAUCUAAUUCCAUUGAAAUGUGCUCUUGACCAAUACUCCACGCUAACAUCAUCCUCUAAGUACCCUCAGAUUUUCUUGUGUAGACUGCACAAUGCUUGCAUAUUAAUCUCAAAUUUUGCCAAACUAUAUGCCUCUGUAGUAGCUCUAAACAACGACACAAUAUCUAUGCAAGGAGAUUUGCUCUUCAAGUUAGUUUGCAAAUGCCAUAUACAAUGUCCAUGAUGUGCGUUAAGAUAGAUGCUAUUGAAACCAUUUGAUAUGCUUGUUGCACGGUCAGAUAUAAAAACUAGCUCGUCUAUGUCAUCGGUUAUUUGUCGCAACUUUUGAAAGAACCAAGUCCAUGAGUCAUUGUUUUCUGAAUCCACUAUGCCCCACACAAGUGGAUAAAUUUGACGAUUUGCAUCUUGGCAUGUGGUAACAAGUGACGUACCUCGAUACUUAGAUUUCAAAAAUGUUCCAUCCACACAAAUUACCCGUCGGAUUGAAGAGAGGUAUCCACAUAUGCUUGGUCCUAAUGCCAUGAAAAAAUACAUGAAAUGUCCAUCAUUAUUAGUUUCAAUAAAGGUCAACGUACCAGAAUUAUUUCUCUCCAAAACAUGACAAUAGAAUGGUAACUUUGCAUAGCUAUCAUCAGGGCUACCUCGAACCUCUUUGUAAGCAAAUUCUUUGGCCAUAUACGCCUUGUGAUAUUUUAUAGUUAUGCCAAACUCUCGACGAACGUCAUUGAUAAUGUUUCUUGGUCUGUACACUAUGUUGGCAUCCUGAUAUUUUGGAGUCAUGUUUUCCAAUUAUCGAAUAGGUAGCAUGUCUAUUAUCCCUGUGACGAACACUCAUGGAGCAAAUGUGAUGGCUAGAAUAUUUUCGUAUUUGAAAAAUCUCAGAUUCAACUAUCCUCGUUGCCCGUAAACGCCAGUUACAACUUUCCUCAACACAAACGACUGUAUACACACUCUUAUUUGAUUUCUUCACUUUAAAUUCAAAUUGGUACUUCAUGGCAAGUAGCUGGAGUUUUGAUAUCAAAGCACUUUUAGUUGGAAAUAGUUCAUCAUCGCGUACAUCCUCAUUUUUCGGAAUCCUAACCGAUGAUCUAUAAGGAAUUGAACACACGACUUGUGUUGAAGUACCAAUAAUGUCCUCUUCCAUGGAGAAAUCAACAUUGUUAUCAUCUCUCAUAGGAUAUUUAUCUUCGAAAUCUUAUUGUUCGGAACUACCUUGAAUUAUAUGCCAGUUAUCCCAAUCCACAGAGUUUCCAUCUAUGUUAUCAUUUCCAUGAUCGCCAUCAUAUUGCUCAACUUCAUUUUGAUGGCUCACAUCUCCCUUUUCUACUUUACCAUUAGUUUCUACUCCACAAUCUCUUUCAAACUCCCUUACCCUAUCAUAUUCACGUGCAACUUUGUCUAAAUAGUCACGCAAAGAGGAUGUUUUUUACAAAUAGAAAGAAACCACUUCACUUUCAUGUCACUGUUAAUCCUUUGUGGUGGAACUGAAAACUUAGACAUUCCGGGAUUAAGAGACACCAUCUCAAUUUUAUAUAACUUUGAAUUCACAUUAACAAAUUCUUGCACUUUGUUGUACAACUCUAUAUACGAAAUGCUAGAUGGAACAUAAAGAAUAUCCACAUUUUCUUCACCGUUUCCUACAUAAUCCCAUGUCUAUUUGCCUUCUUUAGUCUUUUUAAACUCGACAAAAUAGCAUAUCUGUACCCAUAUUAUUUCUACAGAAUCCAUAUUUGUAAAUAAAACAAAAAGCUAAAUAAUUUACUCAAGUAUAUAUCAAAGUAAUAUGAAAAUAGUUACCAUAUUUAAAUUAUCAAAGUAACAACAAUUUAUUAUCAGUAAUGGACAGAUCAUAAUAGAUAACGGUUGUACUAUCGUUUUACAUGGAAGAUAAUGACUGUAGUGUCGUUCUACACUGCUAAAAACGACUGGAGUGUCGUUAUCCUCCAAUAGUUGCGGACGGUACAAAUAUACACCAAAUGCGAAAAUAAAAUCAACUAAAAUAUCAUUUUAUACUAUAUUCAACAAUAAAAGUACCAAUGUAAAUGAGAUUUCUAAAAAUACCUUUCUUCUUUUUUUAAAUAUAGUAGAGAUUUCAAUGUAGAUAAUAUAGUUAUCAAAAUUUUUGUUCAAAUGCUCAAAAUAUUAAAGAAGAUAGAUGAAAAAUACAAUGAAUAACAAGAUUUUAAGGAAGCAACUACUAAGAAAGCGUGUCGACGGGUUUUUGUAGAGGAAUUGAGGGAUUUAAUUGGAUUGAAAGGGGUAUUUGAAUAUUUUUAAUGGUGAGGGUAUUUUAGAUAUUUGAUCUUAUUUGUUUAUUGUUUUUUGUAAGUGAAGGCUAUUUCAUCAAAAAAACAUUGAAGGUGGGUUAUUUUGACAAUAAUAUUGUUUUGACUAGACUUUUUUAUCCGAUGACUGGAUAUUGAAUUAGAUAGGAAAGCCUAAUACAAAAUUUAAUUUAAUUAAUGGUUGUGGAAAGGACAAAAGUUGCUUUAUAAACGAUGGACUUUUGAGAAUCUUGGAAUGCUCAAGUAUUGAAUCAGUAUUAAAUUAGACGAAUAAUUGAAAGGGAUGGAGGCCAAAUUUUAAUUAGUUAUACUAAUAUUAACUAAUUAAAGAAUUAUUUAAUAUUUUUAUUGGCAUAUUAUCUUAUCAAUACUGAAUGAUAAGCAUUUCAUAGCUUUCUACGUUAUUCGGUGGUUUAACAACAUAAACUCCAGAAAAGGGCUGAUCCCUAAACUUGCCACUUGUUUGCUACAGCCUACAAGGUUCAAUUAAAAGUCCCCAUUGAUCAAACAUUAUCUAUUAUUAAUAGGAAAAAAGAUUUAACUAACUCCAACAAUAUCAGCAGCCAUUUUGAUAAUUUCCAAACCACCAAAGGAAAAAAAAAAAAAAAAAAAAAAAGUCAUAACCAAACUUAACCUAUUUCCACCAAUAUCAAACAUAAUUUUCAACCUGGGAUUGAACUCCAUCUAUAAAUACUCCAAACGCAAUUUGGUUUUCAUCAUCAAAGUCAAAACUUCUCCUGUCCCGAUUGAUUAGGAAAAAAACCCUUCAUUUUAAUCUUCGAAUUAUCAUGGCUAGAAGUAUUUACACUUGCAUUUUCAUCCUUGCAGUUAUAGUCACCGCCAAUUAUAAAAAAUGCGAGGCUGCGCGUACUCUGCUGCAAUCAUUUCCUCCUCCUCUGCCGGGAAUGCCAUCUAUUCCAACAUUACCAAAGCCACCUUUGCCACCAAUGCCAUCACUUCCCACCACCCCAAGUCUCCCUAAACCAGCCGUGUCACCAAUGCCUUCUAUUCCAACCAUUCCAAAACAGCCAACUAUUCCUACCAUUCCCGGCAUGCCCAAAGUCGCAUUGCCCCCAAUGCCUUCUUUUCCCUCCGUUCCAAAGAUCCCUUCAAUUCCUACAAUCCCAGUCCUAUCUCCACCACCUUCCAAGUAAAACCAUUGGUAGUAUUUUCUCGAUUCCUCACGUGGCAGGCCAUUGUUAGAAUAGAGACAGACCUCAUGUUGGUGCAAACGGAGAUUCGUUGCUUUGUUAUUUUCGUACUUCUGUUGGAGUCAUACAGUUCUCUUUCUCGCUUCAGUCUAUUUAUAUGUUUUUUGUUUUCAUUGUUUGACAUCAGCCCCUGUUGAUGUAUUGUAUUCCAUCUUUAUGCUUUUUCUUAUAUAUUUUUUACAUUUUCUCUCAUAUCAUAUACAAAUGCCCCAUCAAUGCCAUAGACAUACACCAAAACGGAAUACCGUAAAAAAUAAAACAUGUUUUUAUGUGGAUUUCGACAUUAUAUUAUAAAUCAAAAGAUGGGAAAUAACAGUUAAAACUGCUAAAC
rnacentral:lncRNA from 1 species